UCCCAGGUGGUCCAGUGGUUAAAGAUUCUGCACUUCCAGUGCAGGGGACACAGGUUUGAUUUCUGGUCGGGGAG
rnacentral:tRNA from 1 species